rnacentral:lncRNA from 1 species
CGUACUCUGAGGUGGUUCCCGGGGAGACUCCAAGAUUAGAACCCAUCUCCACAGCAUUGGUUCACCCUGACUGCUACUCGCUGUGGAAAUUCAGCUUCCUCAUCUAUAGAAGGGGCGGGAACCACUGCAUAUUUCUUCGGUUGUUAGAAGGGAUAAAUAAUGUAAUCAUUUAAAGUCCUUGGAUAAUUGCAUAGGGUAUCCUGUGUUAUACACAGUGCGUGAUCAGUAAAUUUGUUCCGUGUGUCUGUGUGAGAGAGAGAGAGAGAGAGAGAGACACACACACACACACACACACACACACACACACACACACAGAGUUCACUUUUGUGGUCACUCACUUUUAUCUGUCGUUUCCCCACCACAGGCGGGAGCUGCAUGCUUGGGGACAGGGCACCUUCCUCUCAUGGCUUGGGUGUUGUGGGACGUGUUCCCAGAUUCUAUUCUAGUUGACAGAGCCCUUUGCCGGCCUGAGGACAGCAUGUCUCUGCAUAAGUUUAAGAAUAGAGGCCAUUUUUGGUCUACAGUUUGGAGGCCUCCUCCCUCCUCCUGUCUACAGAUGAGGAAGUUCAAACAGCAGUUCAGAGAAGCCCAAGCCCUCGCCAGGUCUGCUGAGCGUCUGCUCAAUAACUGUUUUUAGGAAGGUCCCGUGGCUUUGCCCCCAAUGGCUGCUUCUGUGAACAGGACUCUGUGGGACACAGCCGAGCUUCUGCAUAGACCACCUCAGCACCGCGAGUCUCAUCCGUGCCCGAGGGAGAAAGGCAGAGGCCUCUGGGCAGAAGGGAAUUUUAGGUUUGAGCUAGGAGGGAUGCAGAAAGGAAAGCAGGGGAGGAGGCUACCAGAGCAGCUGGUGAGGGCGAGCCCGUGACCUCUUCCAGCAAAUUGGUGGGGCUGGCCUGUGAGCGCUGCUGUAGCUGCAGUGGCAGCCAAGCAGAUUAAUCUGAUUUCCUGGCAGUGAUGCAUCCAAAGUCACGAGGCCGCAGCUGCACGGCGGCUCUGGCCAGCACUGUGCCGGGGGUGUUGGGAAGGGG